rnacentral:rRNA from 1 species
GACGGAGGAUGCAAGCGUUAUCCGGAAUGAUUGGGCGUAAAGCGUCCGCAGGUGGCAGUUCAAGUCUGCUGUCAAAGACCGGGGCUUAACUUCGGAAAGGCAGAUGGAAACUGAACAGCUAGAGUAUGGUAGGGGCAGAGGGAAUUCCUGGUGUAGACGGUGAAAUGCGUAGAGAUCAGGAAGAACAUCGGUGGCGAAGGCGCUCUGCUGGACCAUAACUGACACUCAGGGACGAAAGCUAGGGGAGCGAAUGGG